AGGCCCUGAUUCUCGCGGGCGUGUCUACAGCGCAACAAGGGACUUUAAGACAUAGACCUGUUGUCCUUGAAUAAAGCAUGAGCUCUGGAAGCCCAGGGGCAGUGCCCCUUCCCAGAUUCACCACUAAAGUGGUGACUGAAAGCCUAAGGUUACUACUGUUGGAAAAGUACUGUUGUGAUGUCUGGGAUGCCUAGGGAAUGGUUCCUGCCACUUAGGGCUGUGUUUGACAAGAGCAACGGUCCUUCUCUUGGGCUACUCUGGAUUUUGCUGACAAAAAGUACGUCUUCUGUCUGGUUUGGGGCAGAUCCUAGGAACUUCCUGCAUUAGCCAGUGUGAGCAGCUGUCAACUUACUGGAGAAAAAAACUGCCUUGAAAUUUGGGGGAGCUUAAAUAUCAUUUAUCUUUCACUUCACUUUGUCUGAAAUAAGUACUUGGUUUUAUUAAAAGGAUUCCAAUAAAAUAUAUUAAAGAAAAUAAAUGCCUUGAAAUUUGGGG